rnacentral:lncRNA from 1 species
UUUCGGCGGCUGAGAGCCUCAUUGCUGGAGAAUUCCCGGUGCAGCAGGGUUAUAUAAUCUGACUCAGAAACUGGGCCUCAACCCAGCGAGGUCAACAUGUUCUUUAUUUAAUUAGUCUUUUAGGCAUUUAAAAGCACACGCAUAUUUAAAAGAAAAGGUCUAUUAUAAAGGAGAUGUAAAGUCAACUGGAAUACUUAAUCAUCAAAAUUCAAUUUUAUUCUUCUUCCUCUCUCCCUUUGUUUUAGGGGGAAAUAGGUUUUGUGCACGAUUUGGGGGUGAGCAAUAGGACGGGGUAGAAAUGACCACAAGGAUUUGUUGACUUGUUUUCAAGGAGAUGGGGAACUGCAGUCUUAGCGGGUGGCUGCGCCCAGGUAAGGGUGAAAUACAGAAAGCGUUGGGCCACCUACCAGCAAAAGUUUCCACAGGGCGCGGGCCACUCCUUAGCUAGCCGGGGCCGCGCCUCCAGGACCUUAGUCCCGAAAAUGAACGCCGCAGGGUCGACUGGUCGGGGCGCACGAAGCAUCAGCUCGGCCUUGUGGCCGGACCGGGUGUCUCGGAAGGCGGGCUGAUCCCAGGCCAGUCCGCGGGAUUAGGAGUGGUCACCCUAAACCAGGAGAGGGCAGGGUGGGAGUGUGCGCGGCGUCGCGAUGCAGACUCAUCCGGAGGUCUCAGCACCCGAAAAUGUGGAGGGUCUUCAGAGAGAAAAGAAGCCUUAGGGGUACAGACUGCAAGUUAUGAAGUCUCCACCAAGGGGGGAAAAGUAGCAUCUGAACUGUCGCUGUGAAGAAAUUGUUUGCAGGUAUUCUGAUUCAGCACAUCAGGCCAGGUGUCUGAGCGACUGCAUUUCUCGAAAGCUCCCAGAGAUGUGCUGUGGCUGCUUUGUGUCCCAUCAUCCCCUGAGGAGCAGCUCUGAAUCAGUUCACUCACCAUCUUGGUCCCCACAAUUCCCACAGUUUUGAAAGAAAGCCAAGACCCUGGAACUGUAGCUCUCACAAUUUCUGAUACAUCUAAAUCACCUUGAAGGCUCAUUUUAGAAUGCAAAUUCCAAGGCCUUGACCUGGAAGAUUCUGAUUCACCACUGCUACUUCCCUGCAUGCCUAGACCUAAGCCUGGCUGUAGCACAGCUAUGCCAUCAGGUCCUCCCAGCUCCUGAGCCUGUCCUCCGGCCAUACCCCUUUGCUUGCAAAAAGCCUGAUUUGGUGGCCUUCUUCUCUUUGAAUGUCCUUUGCUGGUUCUCAUGAUUGUCUAGUUUUUUAUCUCUGCUCAGAUGUCUCUUCCUCAGAGGGGUUUUCCCUGACCACAGUCUAAGGUAAUGCUUUCUGCCACAGUCACUGUCCCUGUGCUUUCUUGCCUUCCUUCCCAGUUCCUGUUACUCUCUGGAAUAAUCUUGUCCCUGCAUCUGCUUAUUGGUUUGCUGUCUGUCUUCCAUGGCAACAGGAACUUUACCUGCCUUGUUUUCCACACUGAAUUCUCAGUACCUAGCACAGUGCUGGAGAACUGAAUGAAUGAAUGAAUGCACCCUAGUGGAGAAAGAAGGUGUAAAGUAAACAGUGACAUGAAUUCUGGCCUUGGAAAUUUAAGACUUCAGAGUGAAGCAGAAGUGAGCAUCUCAUGAACAAAGGAUCCUAAGAAUAGAAAAGGAUUCAUCAUGAUUCCUUCAGGGUGUGGAAGAAAAUUAAGUUAGGAAUAGAAGAUGUAGAAUACAAAAUUCAUUGUCCUUCCUCUGUAUUUCAUUUUAAAAUGAUAAAAAUAUAUGUUCCUGGUAGGCAAUUUGGGAAAACAGAAAAAUUUAAGAAAGUAUAUACCACAUUAACUGACCACCCAUGGGUAACUUUGGUUUUCAUUUUUGUGUUUUUCCUUUUAAAUUAUUGUAAAUGUUUUCAAAUAUGUGUGUCUUAUAUACACAUAUAUAUGGCACAUAUACUUUCAUGUUCUGCUCUUUUAUUAUUUCACAUUAUAGGAUGAGCAUAUUCUUGUACCUACAAAGUGCCUUUAAAACAUACUUUUAAUUGGUGUUUAAUACUCCAUUAUAUGAUGGAAAUGCAUUAUAUAUUUGUUUUACUUUUUGUUCAGAAGAG